rnacentral:lncRNA from 1 species
CCAACAGAUGUGGUCUGAGAGAAGAGCUGAGCACAAGCUGAUGAGUUUCCAAUCUAUUAGUGAAGUAGUAAGUGCUCCCCUAGCAACAAACCAUUGAUGUUUUGAAAGAAAAUCAAACGCUGUACAAGGUUGUUGGAGAAAAAGGCUUGAAAGCAAAGGAGUGAAAGAUCGUACCGCUCUUAUGAGGCUGCAAAAGCUUGCGAAGAUUAGAGCUGAGAGUGAUGGGCCAGAGAGAGACCACGGAGUCAAGGAGAAGAAUUUUCUCUACUCUGCCUGCAGCCUUGGUGAUGCAGGGCAUCGUAGGAAGAAAAACAUCAGUUUCUGGGAGACAAGCACUGAUGCAGACGAAAAGAGAAGACAGACUUGAUCAUCUGAAAAAGGGUUGCAAGUUCCUGAGUGAAGCUCUAAGAAGACAAGAGAGAGGGUGCAGUGCAGAAGCAGCUUGAAGAAGAAAGAGUGCUCCUUCACCGGUCAUCCCAGUGCAUCAUUCAUUAAAUAUAACGCCCUACAGGAAAACCAGGGCUUCGUGUUCUCUCUGCCCCCUCCUGCAUCAGCCCUGACGUCAGUAGUUUCAAACCAUGGAAGUUAAAUUAAGGCCAGUGCAGCCUAAUAGGAGAGGGAGAGCAAAUGCUAAGAAGUCCAGGUAAUGAGAAAAUACCUGCCAUCUGGAGCUGUCAUAAGCACGAAUUUAUAUCACUUCCCUCAAAAUAAACAAAUUACAGCACGGGGAA